AUUGAACGCUGGCGGCAGGCUUAACACAUGCAAGUCGAGCGGGGGAAGGUAGCUUGCUACCGGACCUAGCGGCGGACGGGUGAGUAAUGCUUAGGAAUCUGCCUAAUAGUGGGGGACAACAUCUCGAACGGGAUGCUAAUACCGCAUACGUCCUACGGGAGAAAGCAGGGGAUCUUCGGACCUUGCGCUAAUAGAUGAGCCUAAGUCGGAUUAGCUAGUUGGUGGGGUAAGGGCCUACCAAGGCGACGAUCUGUAGCGGGUCUGAGAGGAUGAUCCGCCACACUGGGACUGAGACACGGCCCAGACUCCUACGGGAGGCAGCAGUGGGGAAUAUUGGACAAUGGGGGGAACCCUGAUCCAGCCAUGCCGCGUGUGUGAAGAAGGCCUUAUGGUUGUAAAGCACUUUAAGCGAGGAGGAGGCUACUUUAGUUAAUACCUAGAGAUAGUGGACGUUACUCGCAGAAUAAGCACCGGCUAACUCUGUGCCAGCCGCCGCCGUAA
rnacentral:rRNA from 1 species